rnacentral:rRNA from 1 species
UGCAAGUCGAACGAGCGAGAGAGAGCUUGCUUUCUCGAGCGAGUGGCGAACGGGUGAGUAACGCGUGAGGAACCUGCCUCAAAGAGGGGGACAACAGUUGGAAACGACUGCUAAUACCGCAUAAGCCCACGACCCGGCAUCGGGUAGAGGGAAAAGGAGCAAUCCGCUUUGAGAUGGCCUCGCGUCCGAUUAGCUAGUUGGUGAGGUAACGGCCCACCAAGGCGACGAUCGGUAGCCGGACUGAGAGGUUGAACGGCCACAUUGGGACUGAGACACGGCCCAGACUCCUACGGGAGGCAGCAGUGGGGAAUAUUGCACAAUGGGGGAAACCCUGAUGCAGCGACGCCGCGUGGAGGAAGAAGGUCUUCGGAUUGUAAACUCCUGUUGUUGAGGAAGAUAAUGACGGUACUCAACAAGGAAGUGACGGCUAACUACGUGCCAGCAGCCGCGGUAAAACGUAGGUCACAAGCGUUGUCCGGAAUUACUGGGUGUAAAGGGAGCGCAGGCGGGAAGACAAGUUGGAAGUGAAAUCCAUGGGCUCAACCCAUGAACUGCUUUCAAAACUGUUUUUCUUGAGUAGUGCAGAGGUAGGCGGAAUUCCCGGUGUAGCGGUGGAAUGCGUAGAUAUCGGGAGGAACACCAGUGGCGAAGGCGGCCUACUGGGCACCAACUGACGCUGAGGCUCGAAAGUGUGGGUAGCAAACAGGAUUAGAUACCCUGGUAGUCCACACCGUAAACGAUGAUUACUAGGUGUUGGAGGAUUGACCCCUUCAGUGCCGCAGUUAACACAAUAAGUAAUCCACCUGGGGAGUACGACCGCAAGGUUGAAACUCAAAGGAAUUGACGGGGGCCCGCA